rnacentral:hammerhead_ribozyme from 1 species
AUUCAACUGACGAGUCCCAAAUGGGACGAAAUGCGCCUCCUGGAU